AGUCCAAUGUUAUACUCUCCUGAGUUCAUUUUUUAAUCUUCUGUAAGUCAAUCUAUUGUCUUUUGAUUCUGUUGAGUCGUGAUAUUAGAUCUGUGUCUAGUAGAUAGUGUCAUGGGUAAUAAGACAAAAUCGCGGCCGAAGAAAGAAUACAAGCAAGAGUUCUCUUCCUGCCCGGACGUAGCCAGGACUCCUCGGCUACAUAAUUAGCCGACAUCUAUCAGCCCGGAGCUAUCAGCCCCGUAUCCAGCCUGGAACUACCCUUGAAUCCACAUUGUAUACGGCAUUUUUUACCAUCGAAUGGGACAAAAUUAUCUAUAACGCGUAUACUCCGAAC
rnacentral:misc_RNA from 1 species